UCAGGAUGAACGCCAGCGGCAGGCCUAACACAUGCAAGUCGAGGGGUAAGGCUCUUUCGGGAGUACACGACCGGCGCACGGGUGAGUAACGCGUUUGCAACCUACCUUUAACUGGGGCAUAGCCCGGAGAAAUUCGGAUUAAUACCCCAUAACAUCAUAAAGAGGCAUCUCUUAGUGAUUAAAGCUCCGGCGGUUAAAGAUGGGCACGCGUGUCAUUAGCUUGUUGGUGAGGUAACGACUCACCAAGGCAACGAUGACUAGGGGGUCUGAGAGGAUGAUCCCCCACACUGGUACUGAGACACGGACCAGACUCCUACGGGAGGCAGCAGUGAGGAAUAUUGGGCAAUGGACGCAAGUCUGACCCAGCCAUGCCGCGUGCAGGAUGACGGCUCUAUGAGUUGUAAACUGCUUUUGUUAGGGAAGAACUGUUUCCUAACGUGUAGGGAUUUGACGGUACCUAACGAAUAAGCAUCG
rnacentral:rRNA from 1 species